AACAGGAUUAGAUACCCUGGUAGUCCACGCCGUAAACGAUGAGUGCUAGCUGUAGGGAGCUAUAAGUUCUCUGUAGCGCAGCUAACGCAUUAAGCACUCCGCCUGGGGAGUACGACCGCAAGGUUGAAACUCAAAGGAAUUGACGGGGGCCCGCACAAGCGGUGGAGCAUGUGGUUUAAUUCGAAGCAACGCGAAGAACCUUACCAGGUCUUGACAUACUCGUGCUAUCCUUAGAGAUAAGGAGUUCCUUCGGGACACGGGAUACAGGUGGUGCAUGGUUGUCGUCAGCUCGUGUCGUGAGAUGUUGGGUUAAGUCCCGCAACGAGCGCAACCCUUAUUACUAGUUGCCAUCAUUAAGUUGGGCACUCUAGUGAGACUGCCGGUGAUAAACCGGAGGAAGGUGGGGAUGACGUCAAAUCAUCAUGCCCCUUAUGACCUGGGCUACACACGUGCUACAAUGGAUGGUACAACGAGUCGCCAACCCGCGAGGGUGCGCUAAUCUCUUAAAACCAUUCUCAGUUCGGAUUGCAGGCUGCAACUCGCCUGCAUGAAGUCGGAAUCGCUAGUAAUCGCGGAUCAGCACGCCGCGGUGAAUACGUUCCCGGGCCUUGUACACACCGCCCGUCACACCACGGAAGUUGGGAGUACCCAAAGUAGGUUGCCUAACCGCAAGGAGGGCGCUUCCUAAGGUAAGACCGAUGACUGGGGUGAAGUCGUAACAAGGUAACC
rnacentral:rRNA from 1 species